rnacentral:rRNA from 1 species
AAGCCAGUCGAAGAUACCAGCUGGCUGCAACUGUUUAUUAAAAACACAGCACUGUGCAAACACGAAAGUGGACGUAUACGGUGUGACGCCUGCCCGGUGCUGGAAGGUUAAUUGAUGGGGUUAGCGUAAGCGAAGCUCCUGAUCGAAGCCCCAGUAAACGGCGGCCGUAACUAUAACGGUCCUAAGGUAGCGAAAUUCCUUGUCGGGUAAGUUCCGACCUGCACGAAUGGCGUAAUGAUGGCCAGGCUGUCUCCACCCGAGACUCAGUGAAAUUGAACUCGCUGUGAAGAUGCAGUGUACCCGCGGCAAGACGGAAAGACCCCGUGAACCUUUACUAUAGCUUGACACUGAACAUUGAGCCUUGAUGUGUAGGAUAGGUGGGAGGCUUUGAAGUGUGGACGCCAGUCUGCAUGGAGCCAACCUUGAAAUACCACCCUUUAACGUUUGAUGUUCUAACCUAGGCCCAUAAACUGGGUCGGGGACCGUGUCUGGUGGGUAGUUUGACUGGGGCGGUCUCCUCCUAAAGAGUAACGGAGGAGCACGAAGGUUGGCUAAGCAUGGUCGGACAUCAUGCGGUUAGUGCAAAGGCAUAAGCCAGCUUGACUGCGAGAGUGACGGCUCGAGCAGGUACGAAAGUAGGUCUUAGUGAUCCGGUGGUUCUGAAUGGAAGGGCCAUCGCUCAACGGAUAAAAGGUACUCCGGGGAUAACAGGCUGAUACCGCCCAAGAGUUCAUAUCGACGGCGGUGUUUGGCACCUCGAUGUCGGCUCAUCACAUCCUGGGGCUGAAGUAGGUCCCAAGGGUAUGGCUGUUCGCCAUUUAAAGUGGUACGCGAGCUGGGUUUAGAACGUCGUGAGACAGUUCGGUCCCUAUCUGCCGUGGGCGUUGGAAGAUUGAGAGGGGUUGCUCCUAGUACGAGAGGACCGGAGUGAACGCACCACUGGUGUUCGGGUUGUCAUGCCAAUGGCAUUGCCCGGUAGCUAAGUGCGGAAGAGAUAACCGCUGAAAGCAUCUAAGCGGGAAACUUGCCUCGAGAU